ACUCCUGCGGGAGGCAGCAGUGGGGAAUAUUGCACAAUGGGCGCAAGCCUGAUGCAGCCAUGCCGCGUGUAUGAAGAAGGCCUUCGGGUUGUAAAGUACUUUCAGCGGGGAGGAAGGCGAUAAGGUUAAUAACCUUGUUGAUUGACGUUACCCGCAGAAGAAGCACCGGCUAACUCCGUGCCAGCAGCCGCGGUAAUACGGAGGGUGCAAGCGUUAAUCGGAAUUACUGGGCGUAAAGCGCACGCAGGCGGUCUGUCAAGUCGGAUGUGAAAUCCCCGGGCUCAACCUGGGAACUGCAUUCGAAACUGGCAGGCUAGAGUCUUGUAGAGGGGGGUAGAAUUCCAGGUGUAGCGGUGAAAUGCGUAGAGAUCUGGAGGAAUACCGGUGGCGAAGGCGGCCCCCUGGACAAAGACUGACGCUCAGGUGCGAAAGCGUGGGGAGCAAACAGGAUUAGAAACCCUGGUAGUCCCAUG
rnacentral:rRNA from 1 species